rnacentral:rRNA from 1 species
UACGUAGGGGGCGAGCGUUGUCCGGAUUCAUUGGGCGUAAAGCGCGCGCAGGCGGCUGGGCAAGUCGGCCGUGAAAUCUCCGGGCUUAACUCGGAGGGGUCGGGCGAGACUGCACAGCUCGAGGCGGGUAGAGGGCAGUGGAAUUCCGGGUGUAGCGGUGAAAUGCGCAGAUAUCAGGAGGAACACCGAUGGCGAAGGCAGGUCUCUGGGCCACUACUGACGCUGAGAAGCGAAAGCAUGGGGAGCGAACAGG